AGCCCAGUUACCUCUGGCCUCUGCAGUUUGGCUCAUCACCAGGGAACUUUUGCCUCCUUUGAGACCAAGACACCACUCUGGUAACAGCUCCAGGGACUGAACCAAGGUGCCUGUGACCACCUAUAUGGGAAACUCUGGAAAGCUCACCAAACACUUUCCAGAGCUGGACCAAACACUUCACCAAACAAUUCUGCCAGGGCCACAUCUCCCAGGAAGAUCUUGCCUCCCCACUGAAGCCCCUGGCCUGGCCUCCUGCAGUGCCA